rnacentral:rRNA from 1 species
AGGGUUUGAUUAUGGCUCAGGAUGAACGCUAGCGGCAGGCUUAACACAUGCAAGUCGAGGGGUAACAUUGUAGCUUGCUACAGAUGACGACCGGCGCACGGGUGCGUAACGCGUAUACAAUCUACCUUUUGCUGAGGGAUAGCCCAGAGAAAUUUGGAUUAAGACCUCAUGGUAUGAUUUCUUGGCAUCGAGAGAUUAUUAAAGGUUACGGCAAAAGAUGAGUAUGCGUUCUAUUAGCUAGAUGGUGUGGUAACGGCACACCAUGGCAACGAUAGAUAGGGGCCCUGAGAGGGGGAUCCCCCACACUGGUACUGAGACACGGACCAGACUCCUACGGGAGGCAGCAGUGAGGAAUAUUGGACAAUGGAGGCAACUCUGAUCCAGCCAUGCCGCGUGCAGGAAGACUGCCCUAUGGGUUGUAAACUGCUUUUAUACAGGAAGAAACACACGCUCGUGAGCGUGUCUGACGGUACUGUAAGUAAUAAGGAUCGGCUAACUCCGUGCCAGCC